rnacentral:rRNA from 1 species
UACGUAGGGUGCAAGCGUUAAUCGGAAUUACUGGGCGUAAAGCGUGCGCAGGCGGUCCGCUAAGACAGAUGUGAAAUCCCCGGGCUCAACCUGGGAACUGCAUUUGUGACUGCAUGGCUAGAGUACGGUAGAGGGGGAUGGAAUUCCGCGUGUAGCAGUGAAAUGCGUAGAUAUGCGGAGGAACACCGAUGGCGAAGGCAAUCCCCUGGACCUGUACUGACGCUCAUGCACGAAAGCGUGGGGAGCAAACAGG